UUAAAAAAAAAUUAAGCCAGAUAGAGUGACCAAUUACGUUACUAUCUCCAUGCACAAACCCGAAGCCUUGCCAGAAACAAGAAACUCAAUUCUAUUUCUUCAUCCGUUCCAAUUCCACCCGAUACAAAAACUUUGGCACCCUCGGCUUCCAUAUUCUGAAAUUAUUUUCCUUGAUCUUGAUUCUUGACCAUGGACGCCAUUCAAGGAGCUUACGAGCCAAUCAGUCUUCCCACCUGUCUCAGCUUCAGAACAUCCCUCCGGAAGGUCCGGUCCAUCAAAUUCUCAGGCGGAGGCUGGUUGGGCAAUUCUACGAGGUUGCGGGGUGGUUAUCAUGACAUACCGAGAUUUUCUGUCCGGGUCAAGGCAGCGAUGCCAGAGGAUGCAAGAAUCUCUCUUGUCAAUGGACACACUGAAACUGGUGCAGGUAAAAGUGUGCGCGAUUUGUCUAAUAUCGGGAACUCGACAAACAUCAGGUGGCAUGACUGUCCGGUUAGAAAAGUAGACAGGCAGGAGCUACUUCAACAGAAAGGUUGUGUUAUUUGGAUCACUGGUCUUAGCGGUUCAGGAAAGAGCACUUUGGCAUGUGCCCUGAGUCGAAGCCUGCAUUCAAGGGGGAAACUGACAUACGUCCUUGAUGGGGACAAUGUCCGGCAUGGCUUGAAUCGGGACCUUAGCUUUAACCCAGAGGAUCGAGCUGAGAACAUAAGGAGAAUAGGUGAAGUAGCUAAGCUUUUUGCUGAUGCGGGAUUGAUCUGUAUUGCAAGCCUUAUAUCCCCCUUCAGGAAGGACCGUGCCGCAUGCCGUGCACUGCUGCCUGAAGGGGAUUUCAUUGAGCCUCACAGGUGUUCAUGGAUGUGCCGGUCGAAGUAUGUGAGGCAAGAGACCCGAAAGGGCUGUAUAAGCUUGCCCGAGCGGGAAAGAUAAAAAGUUUUACGGGCAUUGAUGAUCCCUAUGAACCACCGGCAGAUUGCGAGAUAGUGCUUCAAUUGAAGGAACAGGGCUGCACUUCUCCAAGCGAAAUGGCUGAAAUCGUCCGGUCUUAUCUGGAGGAGAAAGGCUACUUGCGGACAUGAACAAGAAACCUAGGGCCAGCUUGGCUUGUGAUUCCGGUUCCAGUUCAGAAACCCAGACCACAGCUUCCCGUCAUCUCAGAAUCUGCAUUCUUUUCCAGCUCCUGUAUCUGUUCAAUUUCAUUUUCAUUCAUAGAUUUUCUGCAUUCACAGACUGUGUAGCCCAAGGUUUCUCAAGUCCGAUCAUGAACAACUAAGUAUCCAAUAAUUACAUGAAGGAUGGUUACAAUC